UUCAUCUUUCAGUUCUUGGAUCAUUUUACUGGGUUACUUGGAUUCCUUGGAUUGAGUUUCAACUUUCUUCUGAAUCCCAAUGAGCUUCCUUUCUAUCCAGAUUCUGAAUUUUGUGUUUGUCAUUUCAGCCAUUUCAGACCGGUUAAGAACCAUUUCUAGGGAGCUAGUGACCCAUUUGGAUGUAAGGAGAUGCUGUGGUUUUUUUGAAUUGCCAGAGAUCUUGUGCUGAUUCUUUCUCAUCUGGUAGGGUUGGUGUUCCCUUAACUGUGGUGUAAGCUGAGUAUGGUCAGUUGGCUUCAUUUCUGGAUGCUUUCGGAGGGCCAGGGCUCUGUACAGAAUCCGCAUAUGUGGGUGAAUUCUUGCACCUGGUUUCACAUCCUGCAUAUAUUAGCACGGUAAUUUUAGUGUUGUAGUUUGUGCUGUGAUCCAGUAGAAGGCGCUUAAGAGUAACGGCCGGUAGCUAGGCUAACACCCAGCUUGUGUGGCUCUCGUACUUUCUUGUUCACAGGCAUGCUCUGAGGUGGGUCAGGGAGAGAGACGGCCCCCUCACAAGGUUUGCUUCUAGGACUUGUGGGGAGCCAGCUCCAAUCCCUGGCACUGCACCUGCAUUUCUUUUGUUAGGUGUUCCAAGCUGCAGGGGACUCCUGAGGCAGAGGCUGCAACAGGACAUUAUUUAUAUUUCUAUAUUUUAAAACUGUCUUUCAUUUCCUUUAGCAACUGUUUUUAGUUUUCUGUACACAAGUCUUGCAUGUCUUUUGCUAAAUUUAAAUAUUUUAUGUUUUUUAAUAUAAAUUCAGGUUUUAAAAUUCAAUUAUCCAAUUGUUUAUCAUUAGUAUACAAAAUAUAAUUUUUAUAUGUUGUAAUAAUAAAUUAAUGUAUGAACUUACUAAUUUGAGUAGUUAAUAUAUAGAUUUCUUUUAAUAUUUGCAUGUAAGUAGUCCUUUCAUCUCUGAAAAAGGUUUUCUUUAUCUUUUGAUAUUUAGCUUUUUAGUAUUUUUCUUGUCUUUAUGCAUCAGUACAAUAUGGAAUAGAAGUGGUAAGGGUGAACAUUAUUGACUUGUUUAUGAUCUUGAACAUGUUUAAUAUUUAAGAAAUAAAAAUGGGAAGACGUUUAAUAUUUCUGUCAUUAAAGUGUGACAUAAGCUGUUGGUUUCUUUCAGGUGCCUUUAUUAGAUUGAAGAAGUCCCUUUUUAAUCUAAUUUUCUGAGGGUUUUUAUUAUAAAUGAGUUUGGGAUUUUACCAAUUUUUUUCUGUCUGUACGUAUAAUCAAAUAGAUUUUUAAAAAUGUGUUAACAAGAUGAAUUACAUUGAUUGAUUUUUAAAUAUUAUAUCAAACUUUCUCCUAGAAUAGACUCUAUUUAAAUAUUUGAAUAAUAUUUUUAGAUUCUGUUUUGAUUUUUAUUUGUUGGCUUUUUGCUAUACCUCUUUAAUAUUUUCAGGGCUAUUCUGGAAAAUAAAGAAUGAUACAUUUAAAACUAUUUGUCUACUUACUAUAUUGUAGAAGUUUACUUAAAAUAUAAGAAAUUUGUAUCUAAUAGAUCUGUUUUUCCUACUUCCAUCCUUUAGAUUUUAGUGUCAUUCUGUAUUAUAUAUAUUUUAUAUAUCCUAUAAUACAAUGAUGAAAUUUUUACUUUAGCUAGUCUUACAUAUGAUAUAGAAUUUUUAAGACUCUUUAAUAUCUGACUGCAUUUCACUACUUCUUGUGCUCUUCAUUUCUUCCUCACAAUCCAAGCUUCCAACUGGUAUUAUUUCUUUUUUACCUAAGAGAAUUCCAUUGCCAUUUACUAUCAUGUAGUUCUACUGUCAAUGAAUAUUUUAAUUUUUAUUUAUAUUCAGAUAACUUUACUGUGGUAUUUUAAUUUUUAGCUGAAUAUUUUAUAUCAAAUUCUGGGUUGACUUUUUGUAUUUCUUGUAGCACUUUAAAGCUACAGUUCCCUUCUCUUCUGGUAUUCACUUUUUUAAAAUGAAAAAUUAUCAUUAUUCAUGUCAUUGUUCCUGGUAUGUAUGAUUUUUCUCUGGCUGUUUGAAGAUUUUGUCUUCUUUUCUAGUUUUGGACAAUUUGACUGUGAUGUGCCUAGGUAGGUGUUCUACAGAUUAUUUUUCUGAAAUUCUUUUUAUGUCUUUCAAUAUACUUUUUAAUUAGGCUUUUAAAAAAUAUAUUGUUUUUUAUCCAUGCUUUUUUAUAUCUCCUCUUCUUUCACUUUUACUCCAAUUUCACACAUUUUGUACCUUUUGAUAUUUUUCUAAAGAUCACUGAGGCUAUUUUUUCAUAUUUUUUCUCCUGUUUUCUAGAUUUUGUAAUUUCUAUGGAUAUAACAUCAAGUUUCUGAAUCUUUCUUCUGUCAUCUCUAAUCUGCUAGAGAUUUCAUUUAGUGAGAUUUUAUUUAAUUUUCAAAUAUUGCAGUUUAAAUUUUAAAGUUUUCAUUUAUUUUUAAUAGUUUUCAUUAUCGUUAUAAACGUUCCUAUUUUAUUCAUUAUAAGAACAUUUUCUUUUAUAUCCUUAAACAUGAUUAUAAUAGCUACUUUAAAUUUCAGUCUAGUAAUUCCAGCAUCCAGGUAAACUCAAAGUUUGUAUCCACUAAUGGCCUCUUCAUUCAAAUUAGGUCAUGUAAUUUCUUUUCUUCAUAUGCCUAGUAAUUUUUGCAUUGUAUCUUGGACACUGUCAACAAUAUAUCUAGAUUUUGUUUUAUCCUUCUAAGGAUGGUUGGAUUUUUGUUUUAACAGGCAUUUAACUUGGUUGUAUUUGUACUUCAAAUUCUGUUUCCUAUAGCCAGCAACAGCUGAAAUCUCUAUCCAGUUAUGUUAGGUUUAACACUGCUGAUUCCAGUAUUCCUCUCACAUGCAUAGUUUAGGCAUCAACCAGAGAUUCAAACAGAGUUUGUAUGGAGAACAUUGGGUUGUUCUUUUUUGGACUUUCCCUUCUUGGAUGUCUUUCCUAACUCUACAGCUGGCUUUUUAAUGGGUUUCUAUUUGACUGGGAACUACUUUCCAGCAAAAAGCUACAAAAACAGAAAAUUUACCUGUCAUCCAAGUGUUGACUUCCCUGUAGUUUCUACUGGCUGUUGGUUGCUUUGCUGUCCCUUAAGAAGUGCCUUUUGCCUCCCGCCAUGAUUCUGAGGCCUCCGCAGCCCUGUGGAACUGUAAGUCCAAUUAAACUUUUUCUUCCUAGUCACAGGUAUGUCUUUAUCAGCAGCAUAAAAAUGGACUAAUACAGAAAAUUGUUAUCAGUAGAGUGGGGUGUUGCUGAAAAGAUACCGGAAAAUGUGAAAGCAACUUUGCAAGUGGGUAACAGGCAGAGAUUGGAACAGUUUGGAGGACUCAGAAGAAGACAGGAAAAUGUGGGAAAGUUUGGAACUUCCUAGAGACUUGUUGAAUGCCUUUGACAAAAAUGCUGAUAGUGAUAUGAACAAUAAGGUCCAGGCUGAGGUGGUUUCAGAUGGAGAUGAGGAAAUUGUUGGGAACUGGAGCAAAGGUGACUCUUGUUAUGUUUUAGAAAAGAGACAGAUGGCAUUUUGUCCCCACCCUAGAGAUUUACGGAACUUUGAACUUGAGAGAGAUGAUUUAGGGUAUCUGGCAGAAGAAAUUUCUAAGCAGCAAAGUGUUCAAAAGGUGACUAGGGUGCUAUUAAAAGCAUUCCAUUUUAAAAAGGAAACAGAACAUAAAAGUUUAUAAAAUUUGUAGCCUGACAAUGCAGUGGAAAAAACCCAUUUUCUGAGGAGAAAUUCAACACAGCUGUAGAAAUUUGCAUAAGAAGCCUAAUGUUAAUCCCCAAAACCAUGGGAAAAUGUCUCCAGGCCAUGUCAGAGACCUUCAUGGCAGCCCCUCCCAUUACAGGCCUGGAGGUCCAGGAUGAAAAACUGGUUUAAUGGGCCAGGCCCAGGGUCCCCAUGCCAUGUGCAGCCUAGGGACUUGGUGUCCUGUGUCCCAGCCACUCCAGCCAUAGAUGAAAGGGGCCAACAUAGAGCUCAGGUUGUGUCUUCAGAGGGUGGAAGCCUUGGCACCUUUCAUGUGAUGUUGAGCCUGUAGGUGCACAGAAGUCAAGAAUUGAGGUUUGGGAACCUCCACCUAGAUUUUAGAAGAUGUAUGGGAAGGCCUGGAUGCCCAGGCAAAAUUUGCUGCAGGGGUGGGGCUCUCAUGGAGAACCUCUGCUAGGGCAGCACAGAAGGGAAAUGUGGGGUUGGAGCCCCCACACAAAGUCCCUACUUGGGUACGGCCUAGUGGAGCUGUGAGAAGAGGGCCACCGUCUUCCAGACCCCAGAAUGGUAGAUCCACCAACAACUUGUGCUGUGUACUUGGAAAAGCCACAUGCACUCAAUGCCAGCCUGUGAAAGCAGCCGGGAGGGAGACUGUACUCUGCAAAGCCACAGGAGUGGAGCUGCCCAAGACCAUGGGAACCCACCGCUUGCCCCAGCGUGACCUGGAUGUCAGACCUGGAGUCAAAGGAGAUCGUUUUGGAGCUUCAAAAUUUGGCUGCCCCACUGGAUUUCAGACUUUCAUGGGGACUUGUAACCCCUUUGUUUUGGCCAAUUUCUCCCAUUUGGAAUGGCUGUAUUUAUCUAAUCCCUGUACCCCUAUUGUGUCUAGGAAGUAACUAGCUUAUUUUGCAGGCUCAUAGGUGGAAGGCACUUGCCUUGUCUCAGAUGAGACUUUGGACUGUGGACUUUUGGGUAAUUGCUGAAAUGAAUUAAGACUUCGGGGGACUGUUGGGAAGGCAUGAUUGGUUUUGAAAUGUGAGGACAUCAGAUUUGGAGGGGCCUGAGGCAGAAGGAUAUGGUUUGGCUGUGUAUCCACCCAAAUCUCUACUUGAAUUGUAUCUCCCAGAAUUCCAUGUGUUGUGGGAGGGACCCAGGGGGAGGUAAUUGAAUCAUGGGGGCCAGUCUUUCCUGAGCUAUUCUCAUGGUAGUGAAUAAGUCUCGCGAGAUAUGAUGGGUUUCUCAGGGGUUUCUGCUUUUGCUUCUUUCUGAUUUUUCUCUUGCUGCCACCAUGUAAGAAGUGCCUUUCACCUCCUGCCAUGAUUCUGAACCCUCCCCAGCCAUGUGGAACUGUUAAGUCCAAUUAAACCUCUUUUUCUUCCCA